UGGGGGAGUAUUGGACAAUGGGGGGGAACCCCGGAUCCAGCGACGCCGCGUGAGUGAAGAAGUAUUUCGGUAUGUAAAGCUCUGUCAGCAGGGAAGAAAGAAAUGACGGUACCUGACCAAGAAGCCCCGGCUAACUACGUGCC
rnacentral:rRNA from 1 species